AAGUCGUAACAAGGUUUCCGUAGGUGAACCUGCGGAAGGAUCAUUAACACGUAUCCACGUAUCUACCUCUUGCGAACUUGUUUUUGUUUUGUAGUCAUGCUCAGGUAAAAAGGAAGUAGAUGGCCAUGUUAGAAUUCAUUUUCUGUUCUACUUGCCUUUCCACCCAAUGUUUUUUGAGUGCUGGUGUAUUGAGAUCACUGUGAUGUAAUGUCAACAGUUUUCCUGCUAGCAAAAGCUCCUUGGGAUGGGUACCUGGUGUGACUCGAAUCAUGGUGGUUAUUCACUAUUAACCCUUUUUUUUAAAAAUUUUGUCUUAGUGUGAGGUGUCUGAGGGUGAGUGUAAUCGAACUUUAUUGUUUGAGAUGAGCUCUGCCCUUGUCCUCCCCAAAAAAAAAAUAACAAAGAUACAACUCUUAGCAACGGAUAUCUAGGUUCU
rnacentral:misc_RNA from 1 species